rnacentral:rRNA from 1 species
UACGGAGGGAACUAGCGUUGUUCGGAUUUACUGGGCGUAAAGGGCGCGUAGGCGGUUUAUUAAGUUAGAAGUGAAAGCCCAGGGCUUAACCCUGGAACUGCUUCUAAAACUGGUAAGCUAGAGUACGGGAGAGGAUAGUGGAAUUCCUAGUGUAGAGGUGAAAUUCUUAGAUAUUAGGAGGAACACCGGUGGCGAAGGCGACUCUUUGGCCUGUAACUGACGCUGAGGCGCGAAAGCGUGGGGAGCAAACAGG